rnacentral:rRNA from 1 species
AUUGAACGCUGGCGGCAUGCUUUACACAUGCAAGUCGAACGGCAGCGCGGGCUUCGGCCUGGCGGCGAGUGGCGAACGGGUGAGUAAUGCAUCGGAACGUGCCCAGUAGUGGGGGAUAGCCCGGCGAAAGCCGGAUUAAUACCGCAUACGACCUGAGGGUGAAAGCGGGGGGCCGAAAGGCCUCGCGCUAUUGGAGCGGCCGAUGUCGGAUUAGCUAGUUGGUGGGGUAAAGGCUUACCAAGGCGACGAUCCGUAGCUGGUCUGAGAGGACGACCAGCCACACUGGGACUGAGACACGGCCCAGACUCCUACGGGAGGCAGCAGUGGGGAAUUUUGGACAAUGGGGGCAACCCUGAUCCAGCCAUGCCGCGUGCGGGAAGAAGGCCUUCGGGUUGUAAACCGCUUUUGUUCGGGAAGAAAUCCUCUGGGCUAAUACCCCGGGGGGACGACGGUACCGGAAGAAUAAGCACCGGCUAACUACGUG